CACGUAGUUAGCCGGUGCUUCUUCUGCAGGUACCGUCACUUGCGCUUCGUCCCUGCUGAAAGAGGUUUACAACCCGAAGGCCGUCAUCCCUCACGCGGCGUCGCUGCAUCAGGCUUUCGCCCAUUGUGCAAUAUUCCCCACUGCUGCCUCCCGUAGGAGUCUGGGCCGUGUCUCAGUCCCAGUGUGGCCGGUCGCCCUCUCAGGUCGGCUACCCGUCGUCGCCUUGGAGGCCAUUACCCACCAACAAGCUGAUAGGCCGCGGGCCCAUCCUGCACCGAUAAAUCUUUCCACCACCACCAUGCGAUAGGAGUCAUAUCCGGUAUUAGACCAGUUUCCCAGGCUUAAUCCCGAAGUGCAGGGCAGAUCACCCACGUGUUACUCACCCGUUCGCCGCUCGUGUACCCCGAAAGGCCUUAACCGCUCGACUUGCAUGUGUUAAGCACGCCGCCAGCGUCGUCUCGAGCCAGAGUCAACUACU
rnacentral:rRNA from 1 species